rnacentral:rRNA from 1 species
UACGUAGGUGGCAAGCGUUGUCCGGAAUUAUUGGGCGUAAAGCGCGCGCAGGCGGUCCUUUAAGUCUGAUGUGAAAGCCCACGGCUCAACCGUGGAGGGUCAUUGGAAACUGGGGGACUUGAGUGCAGGAGAGAAGAGUGGAAUUCCACGUGUAGCGGUGAAAUGCGUAGAGAUGUGGAGGAACACCAGUGGCGAAGGCGGCUACCUGGACAGAAACUGACGCUGAGGCGCGAAAGCUAGGGGAGCAAACAGG